UACGUAGGGUGCAAGCGUUUAAUCGGGAAUUACUGGGCGUAAAGCGUGCGCAGGCGGUUAUGUAAGACAGAUGUUGAAAUGCCCGGGCUUAACCUGGGAACUGCAUUUGUGACUGCAUGGCUAGAGUUUGGCAGAGGGGGGUAGAAUUCCACGUGUAGCAGUGAAAUGCGUAGAUAUGGUGGAGGAACACCGAUGGCGAAGGCAGCCCCCUGGGUCAAGACUGACGCUCAUGCACGAAAGCGUGGGGAGCAAACAGG
rnacentral:rRNA from 1 species